UACGAAGGGGGCUAGCGUUGUUCGGAUUUACUGGGCGUAAAGGGCGCGUAGGCGGCCACCGCAAGUCAAUUGUGAAAUCUCCGGGCUUAACUCGGAAAGGUCAACUGAUACUGCGGGGCUAGAGUGCGGAAGGGGCAACUGGAAUUCUCGGUGUAGCGGUGAAAUGCGCAGAUAUCGGGAGGAACACCAAUGGCGAAGGCAGCUCGCUGGGACGGUACUGACGCUGAGACGGCGAAAGCGUGGGGAGCAAACAGG
rnacentral:rRNA from 1 species